rnacentral:lncRNA from 1 species
CUUCAAUGUAGCGAGAAAUUCCCGCACCCGGAGGCGUCCUUCAGCUGGCCCCUAAACAAAUAUAUACUAGUCCAGUGAUAAUGAACGCCAUACUAAUUUCCAAAUUGUACACAAGAAACUAAAAGUAAAAUAAUACAAGACUAACAAAGGCCAGAGGCUCCUGACUUGGGACAGGCGCAAAAAUGCGGCGGGAUUAAACAUGUUUGUGAGAUCUCAACCCUCCCCCUAUACCUCUAACCAAUGUAGUAAAGU